rnacentral:rRNA from 1 species
AGCAGCCGCGGUAAUUCCAGCUCCAAUAGCGUAUAUUAAAGUUGUUGCAGUUAAAAAGCUCGUAGUUGAAUUUCGGGAUCAUCAGGUCGGUCGUGCCUCCGGUAUGUACUGGUCUCGAUGGUUCCUCCUUCUUGUAGAACCGUAAUGCCAUUAAUUGGGUGUUGCGGGGAGACUGGACUGUUACUUUGAAAAAAUUAGAGUGUUUAAAGCAGGCUAACGCUUGAAUACAUUAGCAUGGAAUAAUGAAAUAGGACGUUCGAUCUUAUUUUGUUGGUUUCUAAGAUUGACGUAAUGAUUAAUAGGGAUAGUUGGGGGCAUUAGUAUUCAAUUGUCAGAGGUGAAAUUCUUGGAUUUAUUGAAGACUAACUACUGCGAAAGCAUUUGCCAAGGAUGUUUUCAUUAAUCAAGAACGAAAGUUAGGGGAUCGAAGACGAUCAGAUACCGUCGUAGUCUUAACCAUAAACUAUGCCGACUAGGGAUCGGAUGAUGUAAUUUUUAAUGACUCAUUCGGCGCCUUAAC